rnacentral:rRNA from 1 species
GUGGGGAAUUUUGGACAAUGGGCGAAAGCCUGAUCCAGCCAUGCCGCGUGCAGGAUGAAGGCCUUCGGGUUGUAAACUGCUUUUGUACGGAACGAAAAGACUCCUUCUAAUAAAGGGGGUCCAUGACGGUACCGUAAGAAUAAGCACCGGCUAACUACGUGCCAGCAGCCGCGGUAAUACGUAGGGUGCAAGCGUUAAUCGGAAUUACUGGGCGUAAAGCGUGCGCAGGCGGUUAUAUAAGACAGAUGUGAAAUCCCCGGGCUCAACCUGGGAACUGCAUUUGUGACUGUAUAGCUAGAGUACGGUAGAGAGGGAUGGAAUUCCGCGUGUAGCAGUGAAAUGCGUAGAUAUGCGGAGGAACACCGAUGGCGAAGGCAAUCCCCUGGACCUGUACUGACGCUCAUGCACGAAAGCGUGGGGAGCAAACAGGAUUAGAUACCCGUGUAGUCC